rnacentral:snoRNA from 1 species
UUGCGAUGAUGAGAAUCUCAUUUGCUGAGAGCUCUGCUCGAUGAGCUUUGGAAACAAUCUUGCAUUGUUUCCUCCUGAGCGGUUACCUGAGCAA